rnacentral:snoRNA from 1 species
AGCCAGCCAGGCAAGAAAGUCCCUGAGACUCUUAUCUCCAAUAAACCACUAGAAAACCGGAAGUGGGAUGAUGGCCAGUCCUGGUGUCUGAGUGAUU